rnacentral:rRNA from 1 species
GCGGAAGGAUCAUUGUCGAAAUCGAACGGAAGAACGACCCGCGAAUCGUCACAGCUAACUAGACAGAGCCCGUGAGCACCUAACGCUCAUGGGGCUCGCGUCGCGUCGCGGCAACGGAUAUCUCGGCUCUUGCAUCGAUGAAGAACGUAGCGAAAUGCGAUACUUGGUGUGAAUUGCAGAAUCCCGUGAACCAUCAAUUCUUUGAACGCAAGUUGCGCCCGAAGCCAUUCGGCCGAGGGCACGCCUGCCUGGGUGUCGUGAAUCCCCUUGCCCCUAGGCACCCGCAUGAGCAUUGGCGGGGAUGUAUGCUCGGGCGCAGAACAUGGUCUCCCGUGGGAUCGGCAUGCACGGCAUGUCGAGGUGCGGUUGGCCGAAAAUCGAGCAUGACGGUGACGGGCACCACGGCGUUCGGUGGAUCGAAUGAGAUUGGCUGC